AGAAUCAACGCUGGCGGCGUGCCUAACACAUGCAAGUCGAGCGCGAAAGGGGGGGUAACUCCCCAAGUAGAGCGGCGAACGGGUGAGUAACGCGUGGGUAAUCUGCCUUCGAGUGGGGAACAACCCCGGGAAACUGGGGCUAAUACCGCAUGACAUCGUCGACUCUUCGGAGCUGACGAUCAAAGCCGGGGACCGCAAGGCCUGGCGCUUGAAGAGGAGCCCGCGUCCGAUUAGCUAGUUGGCGGGGUAAUGGCCCACCAAGGCUGCGAU
rnacentral:rRNA from 1 species